rnacentral:rRNA from 1 species
CACGGAGUUAGCCGAUGCUUUUUCUUCAGGUACACUCAUCCGGGGACACGUCCCCGCCUUUGUUCCCUGACAAAAGAGGUUUACGAUACUCUGUACCUUCCUCCCUCACGCGGCUUGGCUGGUUCAGUCUCCCGACCAUUGACCAAUAUUCCUCACUGCUGCCUCCCGUAGGAGUCUGGUCCGUGUCUCAGUACCAGUGUGGGGGACCUUCCUCUCAGAACCCCUACGCAUCGUCGGUUAGGUGGGCCGUUACCCCGCCUACUGCCUAAUGCGCCGCAUGCCCAUCCCUGUCCGGCCGAAGCCUUUCCUGCCUCCGGGAUGCCCCGGUGGCAUGUACGCGGGUUUAGCCCGCCUUUCGGCGGGUUGUCCCCCUGACAGGGGCAGGUUGCAUACGUGUUACUCACCCGUGCGCCGGUCGCCGGCGGAGAAGCAAGCUUCCUCCCCGCUGCCCCUCGACUUGCAUGUGUUAAGCCUGCCGCUAGCGUUCAUCCUGAGCCAGGAUCAAACUCU